CCCUGUGUUUAGUUAGCACACAGUUUGUUACACAUACACAGAACACAAAAUAAGUUUGGAACUAAUUUAAAAUGAUACAGCUGCAAUUUAUGCGCAUUGCUUGUCUUAUAAGCUUCAUAUUGAUUGCUAAUGGGCUGGCAUUGGUCUCUGAGCUAUUGCCGGUUAGGACUUUGCAGCAUAGAAACUUUGAAAUUGAUCCGCUGCAAGCCGCAGCAAACAAUCUGUUAAUGUUUGCCAGGCAUGGCGCGCGCAAGAGACCAACGGAGAAGCAGCUUAAAAUAAAUAAUCCAAUUAAGUUGACCACACGAUCAAUUAAAUUGUGGGCCAGGCCACAGGCAGUGGAUACCACACCUAAUGAGGACAAGACGGGGCAGGGCAAGCUCAAUGAGGACAAACCCAAUGAGAACAAGCCCCAAGAAACAAGCACAAGCACGGGAAAUUCGGAGACAUAUGGUACAGAGUGGACAAUAUCGGUGCCAAAAUUUCAAGGCGAUGACAUGGGCAACUGGGUGUAUAAUCCGUGGGGUGUUACCUUUGGCAAAAUCUGGGAAGACACGCGAUUUCAACAAGGCGGACGCUGGACAAUUCCUCGCAUGCGCAUCGACUCGGAAUUAGCAAAGCGAUAUUAUCCAUACGAUUUUCCGCAGUCCACCGUAUGUCAAGGCAGAUCUACGAUUUAUGACAAGGGCUGGAACACACAAUGGCUCUUUCCACACAACUAUCGCUAUGUGCAGCCGGCGCGAAAAAUUAUGAAGGAUCUGCGUAAAGAAUUGUACCACGAAGGAGAUUCGGAGCAGUGUCAUACCAAAAAUUUUACCGAUUGGCAGGAAUAUCAAGAGUGCGCUGCGAAACGCAAUCAGCGCCUGGAGUUCUUAAUACCAAAUUAUCCACAGAAACAGGUCAGGCCCGACUGGGAUUAACGUGGCCAUGGCAACGACAUGGCAACCCUUACAAAUAACUAACAAGCAAGCAAGCAACUAAAUAACUCACCGUGUCCAUUGACACCUUCAAGGCCUACUUCAGCAGCCAGACUGCCAAGCUGCCCAAAGUCAGCGAUAAAUCA